rnacentral:rRNA from 1 species
UACGGAGGGUGCAAGCGUUGUCCGGAUUUAUUGGGUUUAAAGGGUGCGUAGGCGGUCUGAUAAGUCGGGGGGUGAAAGCCCGGGGCUCAACCCCGGGAACUGCCUUCGAUACUGUCGGACUUGAGUACGGGUGAGGCUGGCGGAAUGGGCGGUGGUAGCGGUGAAAUGCAUAGAUACCGUCCAGAACCCCAAUUGCGAAGGCAGCUGGCUAAGCCGUCACUGACGCUGGAGGCACGAAAGCGUGGGGAGCGAACAGG